rnacentral:rRNA from 1 species
GAUGAACGCUGGCGGCGUGCCUAAUACAUGCAAGUCGAGCGAACGGACGAGAAGCUUGCUUCUCUGAUGUUAGCGGCGGACGGGUGAGUAACACGUGGAUAACCUACCUAUAAGACUGGGAUAACUUCGGGAAACCGGAGCUAAUACCGGAUAAUAUUUUGAACCGCAUGGUUCAAAAGUGAAAGACGGUCUUUCUGUCACUUAUAGAUGGAUCCGCGCUGCAUUAGCUAGUUGGUAAGGUAACGGCUUACCAAGGCAACGAUGCAUAGCCGACCUGAGAGGGUGAUAGGCGACACGGGAACUGAGACACGGACAAGACUCCUAAGGGAGGCAGCAGUAGGGAAUGUGACGCAAUGGGCGAAAGCAUGACGGAGCAAGGCCGAGUGAGUGAUGAAGGUCUUCGGAUCGUAAAACUCUGUUAUUAGGGAAGAACAUAUGUGUAAGGAAAUGUGCACAUAGUGACGGUACCGAAUCAGAAAGCCACGGCUAACUACGUG